GAUGAACGCUGGCGGCGUGCCUAAUACAUGCAAGUCGAGCGAACGGACGAGAAGCUUGCUUCUCUGAUGUUAGCGGCGGACGGGUGAGUAACACGUGGAUAACCUACCUAUAAGACUGGGGUAACUUCGGGAAACCGGAGCUAAUACCGGAUAAUAUUUUGAACCGCAUGGUUCAAAAGUGAAAGACGGUCUUGCUGUCACUUAUAGAUGGAUCCGCGCUGCAUUAGCUAGUUGGUAAGGUAACGGCUUACCAAGGCAACGAUGCAUAGCCGACCUGAGAGGGGGAUCGGGCACAAUGGAACGUAGACACGGUUCAGACUCCUAAGGGAGGCAGCAGUAGGGAAUCUUUCGGAAUGGGCGAAAACCUGACGGAGCAACGCCGCGUGAGUGAUGAAGGUCUUCGGAUCGUAAAACUCUGUUAUUAGGGAAGAACAUAUGUGUAAGUAACUGUGCACAUCUUGACGGUACCUAAUCAGAAAGCCACGGCUAACUACGUG
rnacentral:rRNA from 1 species